CGGUGGAGCAUGUGGUUUAAUUCGAAGCAACGCGAAGAACCUUACCAGGCCUUGACAUGCAGAGAACUUUCCAGAGAUGGAUUGGUGCCUUCGGGAACUCUGACACAGGUGCUGCAUGGCUGUCGUCAGCUCGUGUCGUGAGAUGUUGGGUUAAGUCCCGUAACGAGCGCAACCCUUGUCCUUAGUUACCAGCACGUUAUGGUGGGCACUCUAAGGAGACUGCCGGUGACAAACCGGAGGAAGGUGGGGAUGACGUCAAGUCAUCACGGCCCUUACGGCCUGGGCUACACACGUGCUACAAUGGUCGGUACAAAGGGUUGCCAAGCCGCGAGGUGGAGCUAAUCCCAUAAAACCGAUCGUAGUCCGGAUCGCAGUCUGCAACUCGACUGCGUGAAGUCGGAAUUGCUAGUAAUCGUGAAUCAGAAUGUCACGGUGAAUACGUUCCCGGGCCUU
rnacentral:rRNA from 1 species